AGAGGUCAGAGUUGUCCGAGACUGAUGUGCUUUAGUUAAGGGAUCAUUAUCGAAUCUCGAGUUGGUGUAGAUUGUCAGCACCUGGCCGACAUGGUCGUGUUGUCCAUCCCCUUGAUGGCUAUAUUGCCAUCUAUGAAGAGUUCCUUUGAUCGGGGCUUCGAUUUUCUUUGCAUCCUUUCUUUGUCAAUAUUUUUGAUCUACAUGACAUAGUUCUUGCUCAAUUUACUCCUAAUUCUAUUCGAAUCCUUUCUUCUUUUGUUGUCCUUUAUUAAAUCCUUCAUUUUGAAUCGAGGGUCACUCUUUUUGGUGCCCUUUUUAUGUUGACGAAACAUCCUCGGA
rnacentral:lncRNA from 1 species